AAACUAAAAUCGCCAGACUGACUUUGUGCAGUGACUCGGUUGAUGAGUCUCUCUCUCUCUUCUCUCUCUUCUCCGAUGUCCAUGAAUACCACCACCACCACCACCGUGCACCAGCGCUGCUCUCCUCCCCUUCUUCCUCCUCCCGAAAUCUAGGGUUCCCUCGAUCGCCGCCGACCUCCCCUCCCUCGCAUUCCCCUCCUCCAAUCCUCCUCCGCCGCCCGCCGCCGCCCGCCGCCUCCGCCCUUCGAAUCCCUCGGCGGAGCGCGCCGGCGAGGACCCAUUUGAGCCCUACCCCAGCUCCCAUGGCGAAGACCCGACCCGGCCUCAUGGCCAAGCCGAAGCCGGCGAAGAAGGACCUUGACUCCUACACCAUCAGAGGCACCAACAAAGUGGUCCGCGCUGGGGAUUGCGUGCUGAUGCGCCCGUCCGACACCGGCAAGCCCCCGUACGUGGCCCGAAUCGAGAAGAUCGAGUCCGAUGCCCGGAACAACGUGAAGGUGAGGGUGCGGUGGUAUUACAGGCCGGAGGAGUCGAUUGGUGGGAGGAGACAGUUUCACGGGGCUAAAGAAUUGUUCUUGUCUGAUCACUAUGAUGUGCAAAGCGCGCACACUAUCGAGGGCAAAUGCAUCGUGCAUUCGUUCAAGAACUAUACGAAGCUUGAGAAUGUUGGAGCCGAGGAUUACUACUGUAGAUUUGAGUAUAAGGCAGCUACUGGGGCGUUUAUACCUGACCGUGUUGCUGUGUACUGCAAGUGUGAGAUGCCGUAUAACCCGGAUGACCUCAUGGUGCAGUGUGAAGGAUGCAAGGACUGGUACCAUCCAGCGUGCGUGGGUAUGACUAUUGAAGAAGCCAAAAAGCUUGAGCACUUUGUCUGCUCCGAGUGUUCUGAUGAUGAGGUCAAACGAGCAGAAAAUGGAUUUUCUUCAUCGCCAGCAGCUGAAGUAAAGAACAUGGAUUCUCCUCGGUAAAGAAGCAGGUGUACUUAAUGUAAACUGACUACAAGGAUGGAUAUCUUGGAAAGAUUCAGGAAAUGGUUGACUCCAAGCGGCGGAAGAGAUGAAGGUGAGAUGUCACCUGGACAUGGCAGUUGCUGCUGGAUGACAAGCCAUCACUGUUAUUAUUUGCAGAAUUAGUACCUAGCCGUUGUAUGAUGUGUACAGUGCUGCGUACCAUGGUCUGACGGGAUGAUGUUAGUGAUUUGCGUGCGUGUCAUAGUAUAGAUGUAUCUGCGCUAGUUUUAGGAGUCGUGAUGUAAUCCGUAGUGUGUCCAGGGAGAAAAAUUGGUUUUUGGAGUUGCUCUACUUCGUUUGGAGUCGAACCGUGUGGAGUGGUAAAAACUCUGAAUACCCGGUUUUCCUUCUAAAUGUUUAUUAAGCUUAUGUGAA